rnacentral:rRNA from 1 species
AGCGAACGCUGGCGGCAGGCCUAACACAUGCAAGUCGAACGAACCUUUCGGGGUUAGUGGCGGACGGGUGAGUAACACGUGGGAACGUGCCUUUAGGUUCGGAAUAACUCAGGGAAACUUGUGCUAAUACCGAAUGUGCCCUUCGGGGGAAAGAUUUAUCGCCUUUAGAGCGGCCCGCGUCGGAUUAGCUAGUUGGUUGAGGUAAUGGCUCACCAAGGCGACGAGCAGUAGCUGGUCUGAGAGGAUGAUCAGCCACAUUGGGACUGAGACACGGCCCAAACUCCUACGGGAGGCAGCAGUGGGGAAUCUUGCGCAAUGGGCGAAAGCCUGACGCAGCCAUGCCGCGUGAAUGAUGAAGGUCUUAGGAUUGUAAAAUUCUUUCACCGGGGACGAUAAUGACGGUACCCGGAGAAGAAGCCCCGGCUAACUUCGUG